rnacentral:pre_miRNA from 1 species
AACUCAAUUUUCGUCGGCGUGCAUGAAUCUGGUGCACGGUUUUCCAGUUGUAAUAUCGCUUCGUGACUAGAUUACAUGCUCGUCUAUGAAGUUGAGAU